UUAAAAAGUGGGCUUGGGCCAGGUGUGGUGGCUCACACCUGUCAUGUCAACCCAGCCACUUGGUAGGCCAAGGCAGGAGGAUCGCUUGAGGCCAGGGGUUCAAGACCAGCCUGGGCAAUAUAGCAAGACCCCAUCUCUACAAAAAAAUUUAAAAAUUAUCCCGGCAUGGUGACAUGCACCUGUAGUCCUGGCUACUCGGGAAGUCUGAGCCCAGAACCUGAAGCUGCAGCAAGCUAUGAAUGCACCACUAGACCCCAAUCUGGGAGACAGAGCAAGAUCCUGUCUCUUAGAAAAAAAGUAGGCUCAAGUCUAAGUAGGAAGCUGAGCUAGUGCACAGCCACUAGACAAAAUAGGUGUUUUCUUCUCCUUGCCUCUUGGUUCAGUUAAAUCCUAUUCAGGCCUCACUCUCUAGCUGAAGAUUCACCUCCUUCUACUCACAUCUACCUUUCAGAACUCCAAGCAGCACUAUUUCUUGUUCACACUGAGACUAACUAGAUAGUCUUCUAUGGAUAUCUGUGAACAUCCCUCUAAAACAGUAUUAAUACAAGCAUCCCUUGCAACCCCCAGGGGUUAGGCAGUUCCUCAAGAAAUAACUGCUGCCAAACAACAGAGAAAACGAAGAGAAAAACCAGAUUUUCCUUAACCAAUGGGUGGCAUGUUUCUCCAAGCAUGCACCUCUCCGCCAAGUGUCCCAACGCAGCUGGAAAUCUAGAGUGGCAGAGGAUACGCUUACCCAGGGAAGUCAGCAGGACCUACACCAACAGUUGCAGCACAUGCACACACAUGUGCCCAUACACACACACACACGGUUUUUCUCACUUACAUCUGGAACAAUCACUGUAAGCUUGGGAUUUAAAGCAUGAUAGACUUUUCCAAUGGCCCCCUUAUAACACCAGAAAGGAUUGUAAUCUUGAGCGUAUUUUGUGUUGGCAUCUCUGGCAGUUGUGAAGAUCUUGUACCAGAGCGUGGCAUUGCUGUACGUGUCGGGAACACAGUGCGGUGGCUGUCUGCAGGGGAAGAGAAGGAGGAAAGACACAUGCUCAGUGACCUGAGUCAUUCACGUGUGUCACCCCCACAGCAGCUGGCAAAACAGUGAACACGGCAGCACAUGUGGAAAGGAGAAAUGUAACUUACAUGCUCAUACUUCUUUGAGGUAAAUACCAUUAUAUUUUAGUUUGAGGGUCUUUU